UCUAAAUGAAGCCCCUCCAACUAGUGGACACUAAUGCCAAACGCUGCCAUCGUUGUACACCGCUCCUGAAGCACAGCCUCAGUACAAGCAGCCGGAGGCGGGUCAGCUAGAGCAGAGCGUCGCCUCACUGAGGAAAUGGGCCGAACCGUACACGAACCAGUGUCAGCAAACGGGCCAGGCUGCGAUGGAGAAAGUUGAGGUCAGUGUAAGAAACGCUGCUGAACAUCAUGUAGCUGUUUGAUAACCACGACUUUAAACUC